rnacentral:lncRNA from 1 species
GCCCCUCCCCCAGCCUGUCUUCCGCCUUGCAGUUUGAUCUCAGACUGCUGUGCUAGCAAUCAGCGAGACUCCGUGGGCGUAGGACCCUCCGAGCCAGCAUCAGCUAUCAAAACUUAUGGAAAUGGAAUUGAAGACAACUACUUCUAGAAUUGGUGCAUGGAAGCUUCUCAUAGGUGAUUAGCCACACUCUUCUUCUGUCAACCUGGUGCAGAAAAGCUUGAAGACCUUGGAAAUCACAUAUUGAUGAUGGAGGAGAUACAAGAAUGAAGGACCCUGGGUUCCUGAAUCAACACUCUAAGAAGAGACUCCUUGAAAUCAAGAGCACUCAUUUUGACAUUGCAAACGGAAAAAUUCACUUCUAUCAGGUUUGAACCAAUAUAUAGUUUAGGGUUUUUAAAAAAUAACUGUUAGCAUGACUUUAACUAAUACACAUGCCAUACAGGAUCAGACCUCUGUGACUUUGCUUUUACAGUCUGCUCUGUCUGGAGGGGAGUUUCAUCUUUGCCAUCCUUAAUGAUAUAGCAUAGACGCUAUGUCCUCCAGAAACUUCCUUGGCACCCACAUUUUUGGAUGGAAGCUUCUUGUCAUUUCCAUGGAAAGUAAGCUUAAUCUUGUCAAUGUGGUUCAACAUCAAAUUUGAAUUAUGUUCACCUAUCUUGUUUCCAACCUUCCCAACUAAAAUUUAAAUUUCAUAAAGGACUGAAAGCAAUCAUUUUGUAUCUCCAGCCAGGAACACAAUGCCAAGCU